AUUGAACGCUGGCGGCAGGCCUAACACAUGCAAGUCGAGCGGUUGAGGUAGCUUGCUACCGAUACAGCGGCGGACGGGUGAGUAAUGCAUGGGAAUCUGCCUGGUAGUGGGGGACAACGUUUCGAAAGGAACGCUAAUACCGCAUACGCCCUACGGGGGAAAGGGGGGGAUCUUCGGACCUCUCGCUAUCAGAUGAGCCCAUGUCAGAUUAGCUAGUUGGUGGGGUAAAGGCCUACCAAGGCGACGAUCUGUAACUGGUCUGAGAGGAUGAUCAGUCACACUGGAACUGAGACACGGUCCAGACUCCUACGGGAGGCAGCAGUGGGGAAUAUUGGACAAUGGGCGAAAGCCUGAUCCAGCCAUGCCGCGUGUGUGAAGAAGGCCCUAGGGUUGUAAAGCACUUUCAGUGGGGAGAAAGGCCUUUUACUUAAUACGUAAGAGGAUUGAUGUUACCCACAGAAGAAGCACCGGCUAACUCCGUGCCAGCCGCCGCAGUAA
rnacentral:rRNA from 1 species